AACGAACGCUGGCGGCAUGCCUAACACAUGCAAGUCGAACGAUGCCUUCGGGUCUAGUGGCGCACGGGUGCGUCACGCGUGGGAACCUUCCCUUAGGUUCGGAAUAACUCCCCGAAAGGGGUGCUAAUACCGGAUAAUGUCUUCGGACCAAAGAUUUAUCGCCUUUGGAUGGGCCCGCGUUGGAUUAGCUAGUUGGUAGGGUAAAAGCCUACCAAGGCGACGAUCCAUAGCUGGUCUGAGAGGAUGAUCAGCCACACUGGGACUGGGACACGGCCCAGACUCCUACGGGAGGAAGCAGGGGGGAAUAUUGGACAAUGGGCGAAAGCCGGAUCCAGCAAUGCCGCGUGAGUGAUGAAGGACUGAGGGUUGUAAAGCUCUUUUACCCGGGAUGAUAAUGACAGUACCGGGAGAAUAAGCGCCGGCUAACUCCGUG
rnacentral:rRNA from 1 species